GAGAGAGGCCCUGAGGCAGUAGAGACUGCUAAUCCCUACCUCCGCAGUUAAACUCUGCGGUUCACUCG
rnacentral:tRNA from 1 species